CUUUAUCAAAAAAAUAUAUCUAUAAUUAACUGAGGCAACCUCAUUAGGAUAUUUAUAUCUAUUGACAUGCUUGGUUACAGAAAAUGUAGUGCUUACACUGUUGAGCUUACAGCGUCAAUCUCUUUGUUCCAGAACCACGAUAUUAAACUGUAGUGGCUCUAAUGCCAAGAGCGCCCCCUUUAAAACUGUUCUUUGGGAAUAUAGUGUGGGGUGGGUUAGCUAUGUAGUGUGUCUAAGGAACAUAGUGUGAGGUGGGAUAAGUAUGUUGUGUGCAUGUGUGUAGGUUAUGUAGCAUGUAUAGGAAACAUGGUGUGGUGCAGGAUAGAGAUGUAGUGUGUAGGUUAUGU